AUACCCUAUGCAAGUCUGUUGGUACCUAUUCAACCAACACAGGGCUGAAGGUGAAAGUUUCCUGGAUCACAUCAUUAUGAUGUGAUCACCACACAUGGUGAUGAGACGUGGAGUCACCACUAGAAGUCAGAGUAAAAACAGCAGGCCAUGGAGUGGUAAAAUGGGAAUUCCCCACUGAAGAAAAAGUUCAAGACAGAGCCCUCAACAGAUACAGCAACCAGAAAAAAGGAAAAACCCUCAGUAAAUUCUGACUGUGAGAUUACAUGCAUAAGCAAAUAUGAAGAACACUGUGCUAUCAAGCAGUCUGCAGCAAAGUAAUGGAGAACACCCAUGAACGUACAGCUUUUCCAUGAACAUAUGACUAGAUAAAUCUGAAGAGAGAGGAGCAGUAAAGAACACUGAAAUUACCAGAUUGGAAACUUGUAACACAUAAACUGGUACAGUAAAACUGUUCAGGAAAAAAAAAUAAAAAGUUAUCAAUCUGUUCAAAGCAGCACACAAGGAAUCCCAGCCAGCACAGACUCCUUUCAAGCCUAUCUGAACAUAGCAGUGUGGUAAUGUCACUACUGAACAACUUACGAAGUGUUGACACUGUUGAUGCCUCGCAGUUUUUCUGUACGUGUUUUUCAAUUAAAAUCGAACUUAUUUUCUCUUUCAGUUUAUCUUGACCAACAUCAAAAUAAUAUACUGUUGUAUAAUCACGACUUUCAUAACAACAUAAGAGGAGUAAAGGAAAUAACACAAAUUACUGAAAUCACAGUACCUGUUAUUGAGCAGUAUACUAU